GACGAACGCUGGCGGCGUGCUUAACACAUGCAAGUCGAACGGAAAGGCCUGCUUUCCCUUGUGGAUUGCGGGUACUCGAGUGGCGAACGGGUGAGUAACACGUGAGUGAUCUGCCCCCAACUUGGGUAUAAGCCUGGGAAACUGGGUCUAAUUCCCGAUAGGACUGCAGGGUGGUGCCUGUGGUGGAAAACGAUUUUCUAGUGGUUGGGGAUGAGCUCGCGGCCUAUCAGCUUGUUGGUGGGGUAAUGGCCUACCAAGGCGGCGACGGGUAGCCGGCCUGGGAGGGUGGACGGCCACAGUGGGACUGAGAUACGGCCCAGACUCCUACGGGAGGCAGCAGUGGGGAAUAUGACACAAUGGGCGGAAGCCUGAUGCAGCGACGCCGCGUGGGGGAUGACGGCCUUCGGGUUGUAAACUCCUUUCGACCGCGAGGAAGCCACCUGGUUGGAAGGGUGGUGACGGUAGUGGUAGAAGAAGCACCGGCUAACUACGUG
rnacentral:rRNA from 1 species